rnacentral:tRNA from 1 species
GCCCGGUUAGCUCAAUCGGUAGAGCGUGAGACUCUUACGUGUACAUGAAAUCUCAAGGUUGCGGGUUCGACCCCCGCAUCGGGCU